rnacentral:rRNA from 1 species
UCAUCAUGGCCGGAGCGUAAUGCUAAUGCAAUCAAUUGCCGUUACACAACGAUUAACAGAGAGACCUCUAAAUUUUGUGGUUGCCUUCAGCAGAUUUUAAAUAGGCAAGAAAGUGGAAGGACUAUAGAAGAAAAGACAAACGAUGCACACAUUUUGUUCAAGGAAAUGGAUCUUAAAAAAAGGAAGCCUUUCACACUGAUGCAUUGCUAUGUAGAGUUUUCAAAGUAUCCAAAGUGGCAGACAAGAGAAGUUGAAACUUCUCUUAAGAAACAAAAGAAGACCAUUGAUGCAAGUCUGGGCACAUCCACCAAUUAUCCGGCUGAUGCAUCCUCGGUACGUACUGAUGCUACCUCGAUACGCACUGAUGCUCUUGAACAUGAGAAAAGACCUGAUGGUGUGAAGAGGGACAAGAGAGGUAAAGCUGAUGACAGUGCUUGCAAGCUGUCAUUAGAAACUGUGUGGGCAGCAAAGCUAGAGAAGGAUGAGAUCAAAGAGGCGGCAAGAAAUGAUCGCUACACACAGCAAUUGGAAUUGCGAAAAGAGGAGAUUGCACUCAAAAAGAAUGAGGAUGCACGAAACGAGAGGGAGGAUGCACGGAGACAGUUUGAAUUAGAUGAGAGGGUCAUGCUCAUCGACACAAGUGGUAUGACUGAUAUUCAAAAGCAGUUCUACCAAGCUAAGCAGAAGGAGAUCCUUGCUCGUGGCCUAGGGUAA